UACGGGGGGGGCAAGCGUUGUUCGGAAUUACUGGGCGUAAAGGGCUCGUAGGUGGCCAACUAAGUCGGACGUGAAAUCCCUCAGCUUAACUGGGGAACUGCGUCCGAUACUGGAUGGCUCGAGUUUGGGAGAGGGAUGCGGAAUUCCAGGUGUAGCGGUGAAAUGCGUAGAUAUCUGGAGGAACACCGGUGGCGAAGGCGGUUCUCUGGGCCUUACCUGACGCUGAGGAGCGAAAGCGUGGGGAGCAAACAGG
rnacentral:rRNA from 1 species